rnacentral:rRNA from 1 species
CCUACGGGGUGCAGCAGUGAGGAAUAUUGGUCAAUGGCCGCAAGUCUGAACCAGCCAUGUCGCGUGCAGGAUGACGGCCCUACGAGUUGUAAACCGCUUUUGUCCGAGGGUAACGCAGAUACGUGUAUCUGCCUGAAGGUAACGCACGAAUAAGGAUCGGCCAACUCCGUGCCAGCAGCCGCGGUAAUACGGAGGAUUCCAGCGUUAUCCGGAUUUAUUGGGUUUAAAGGGUGCGUAGGCGGUCGGAUAAGUUAGAGGUGAAAUCCCGAGGCUCAACUUCGGAAUUGCCUCUGAUACUGUUCGGCUAGAGAGGAGUUGCGGUAGGCGGAAUGUAUGGUGUAGCGGUGAAAUGCAUAGAGAUCAUACAGAACACCGAUUGCGAAGGCAGCUUAC